GUAGGUGGCAAGCGUUGUCCGGAAUUAUUGGGCGUAAAGCGCGCGCAGGCGGUCCUUUAAGUCUGAUGUGAAAGCCCACGGCUCAACCGUGGAGGGUCAUUGGAAACUGGGGGACUUGAGUGCAGAAGAGGAGAGUGGAAUUCCACGUGUAGCGGUGAAAUGCGUAGAGAUGUGGAGGAACACCAGUGGCGAAGGCGACUCUCUGGUCUGUAACUGACGCUGAGGCGCGAAAGCGUGGGGAGCGAACAGGAUUAGAUACCCUGGUAGUCCACGCCGUAAACGAUGAGUGCUAAGUGUUAGAGGGUUUCCGCCCUUUAGUGCUGCAGCUAACGCAUUAAGCACUCCGCCCUGGGAGUACGGUCGCAAGACUG
rnacentral:rRNA from 1 species